rnacentral:rRNA from 1 species
UACGGAGGGUGCGAGCGUUGUCCGGAAUCAUUGGGCGUAAAGGGCGCGUAGGUGGCCCGGUCAGUUCGUGGUGAAAGCGCGGGGCUCAACCCUGCGUCGGCCAUGAAUACUGCCGCGGCUGGAGCACUGUAGAGGCAGGCGGAAUUCCGGGUGUAGCGGUGGAAUGCGUAGAGAUCCGGAAGAACACCGGUGGCGAAGGCGGCCUGCUGGGCCACCCUUGACACUGAGACACGAAAGCGUGGGGAGCGAACAGG